rnacentral:rRNA from 1 species
GACGAACGCUGGCGGCGUGCCUAAUACAUGCAAGUCGAACGCAGUGGGGACGGGUGAGUAACACGUGGGUAACCUCCCAUCAGAGGGGAUAACACUUGGAAACAGGUGCUAAACAGAUACUGAUGGAUGGACCCGCGGUGCAUUAGCUAGUUGGUGAGGUAAAGGCUCCCUUAGGCGACGAUCUCUCGCGUGUCUGAGAGGAUGACCAGCCACACUGUGACUGAGACACGGCCCAGACUCCUACGUGAGGCAGCAGUGGGGAAUAUUGCACAAUGGGCGCAAGCCUGAUGCAGCCAUGCCGCGUGUAUGAAGAAGGCCUUAGGGUUGUAAAGUACUUUCAGCGGGGAGGCGUUACCCGCAGAAGAAGCACCGGCUAACUCCGUGCCAGCAGCCGCGGUAAUAC